rnacentral:rRNA from 1 species
CCUACGGGAGGCAGCAGUGGGGAAUAUUGCACAAUGGGCGCAAGCCUGAUGCAGCAACGCCGCGUGAGGGACGACGGCCUUCGGGUUGUAAACCUCUUUUAGCAAGGAAGAAGCGAAAGUGACGGUACUUGCAGAAAAAGCGCCGGCUAACUACGUGCCAGCAGCCGCGGUAAU